AGCUUUAUAGUUUAAAAAAAACAUUAAUCUUGUAAAUUAAAAUUAAAAUAAAUUUUUUAGCUU
rnacentral:tRNA from 1 species